UACAGAGGAUGCAAGCGUUAUCCGGAAUGAUUGGGCGUAAAGCGUCUGUAGGUGGCUUUUUAAGUCCGCCGUCAAAUCCCAGGGCUCAACUCUGGACAGGCGGUGGAAACUACCAAGCUGGAGUACGGUAGGGGCAGAGGGAAUUCCUGGUGUAGCGGUGAAAUGCGUAGAGAUCAGGAAGAACACCAGUGGCGAAGGCGCUCUGCUAGGCCGUAACUGACACUGAGGGACGAAAGCUAGGGGAGCGAAUGGG
rnacentral:rRNA from 1 species